AUAAAAGCAGGCUGCCCGAGCUUGCAUUAGUAACUCGCUCGGGUCCCCUUCCGGAUUGUGGAAACUUUGUUCUUUCGCUGUAUGUAAUAACUCUUGCUACUGUAGCUCGCUUUUUGGGUCUACGCUGCUUCUAUAAGCUGUAACAUUCACAGGGAAGAUCUGCAGCUUCACUCCUGAGACCACGAGCCCACUGGAAAGAACAAACAACUCCCGAAGUGCUACCUUAUAGAGCUAUAACACUCACCGCGAAGGUCUGCAGCUUCACUCCUGAGCCAGGGAGACCACAAACCCACCAGAAGGAAAAAACUCCGAAUACAUCUGAACAUCAGGAGGGACAGACUCCAGACGGGCCACCUGAAAAGCUGUAACACUCACCGUGAGGGUCCGGGGCUUCAUUCUUGAAGUUAGUGAGACCAAGAACCCACCAAUUCGGGACACACUUGGACCAUCCGCUUCCCAGGAAGCGUCAGCCCUGGGGUGCCCAUGCCCAGAAGCCCACUCCAGCCCUGAUAGUCGCCUCCCAGCUGAGCCAGGAACCUGGGGCUGAGCUCCAUCCUCAACCUUAAAAACUUGUCAUCUCACCUGUCCCGAGGAUGUGCGGUACCUGCCCUACUUCUACCAUCCUCACCCUACUCUUUUCCUGGGCUAGCGUUAUGAUGUCUAAACCUAUCUAUCAUCCCGUUCUGUGCUCUGUAUAUUCAUUUUCCACAUAACGUAAAAUGUAGGUCUGGCUAAGCCCCCUCCACAUGGACAACGUGGGCCCUACUCUCCACAGACUCCAGCCACCUGCGACCCCUUCUGCCUCAUGCUACGUGUGAUCACAGCCUUUUCUCCUGUUGCUAUCCUGACCGAGAUGCUCCUCUAACAAGCUUGUCCACCCUUUCACACCCCUCAGCACACGCCCUGGCUUCAUAUGGCCGCCUGGUACCCUCCCUGCCGUUUCUGCCCAGAUCUGUUCUGUGCCCAGCAGGUGUUAUUGGCUUCAUCUACUUGCAGGUCUGUCCUUACUAACUGGAACACCCCCGAGGGCAGGAACGGUUUACCCCAGCAUGGAGCACAGUUCCGGGGCCCUAGGAGGAGCUCAGAGGACCUGUGGGAAAUGUUCCCAUGGGCAAUGACUCCCUGAAUGUAACGUCGUAUGUCACCUUGGAGGGAAAGACCCCAUAAAAACCUAAUCAUAUUCAAGGGUAAGUG
rnacentral:lncRNA from 1 species